rnacentral:lncRNA from 1 species
AGGUCCAUAAGUACAACGCUCAGCUCUGGUUUCAUCGCUCAGCGAUAGGUGCGAUACUCCACUGGGACGCUUAGGUGUCAUGCCGUAUUAAACUGAAGAUGCCAGCGCUCAGCGGUGGAUCUUGGCGCUCAGCAGUAAGCACGGUUCUUCAUUUUCCCUUGAGCGCUGGCGUUUAAGCGUUUGACAAUGGAUUUUUCCACGAAGUUGGCG